CAGUGCUGUGGGAUCUCAGUAGGCAGUGCUCUGGGCAUCUCCAGCAUGGACUGGACUCCUUUUCUGCUCUCCGUCCUCACUCUCUGCACAGGUGC
rnacentral:pre_miRNA from 1 species